rnacentral:rRNA from 1 species
CCGGCGCACGGGUGCGUAACGCGUAUGCAAUCUACCUUUUACAGAGGGAUAGCCCAGAGAAAUUUGGAUUAAUACCUCAUAGUAUAACAUGACCGCAUGGUCGAGUUAUUAAAGUCACAACGGUAAAAGAUGAGCAUGCGUCCCAUUAGCUAGUUGGUAAGGUAACGGCUUACCAAGGCUACGAUGGGUAGGGGUCCUGAGAGGGAGAUCCCCCACACUGGUACUGAGACACGGACCAGACUCCUACGGGAGGCAGCAGUGAGGAAUAUUGGACAAUGGGCGCAAGCCUGAUCCAGCCAUGCCGCGUGCAGGAUGACGGUCCUAUGGAUUGUAAACUGCUUUUAUACGAGAAGAAACACUGCUUCGUGAAGCAGCUUGACGGUAUCGUAAGAAUAAGGAUCGGCUAACUCCGUGCCAGCAGCCGCGGUAAUACGGAGGAUCCAAGCGUUAUCCGGAAUCAUUGGGUUUAAAGGGUCCGUAGGCGGUUUGGUAAGUCAGUGGUGAAAGCCCAUCGCUCAACGGUGGAACGGCCAUUGAUACUGCCAGACUUGAAUUAUUAGGAAGUAACUAGAAUAUGUAGUGUAGCGGUGAAAUGCUUAGAGAUUACAUGGAAUACCAAUUGCGAAGGCAGGUUACUACUAAUGGAUUGACGCUGAUGGACGAAAGCGUGGGUAGCGAACAGGAUUAGAUACCCUGGUA